rnacentral:rRNA from 1 species
GAUGAACGCUAGCGGCAGGCCUAACACAUGCAAGUCGAGGGGGAGCUUUCGGGCUUCGACCGGCGUACGGGUGCGUAAAGCGUAUACAAUCUGCCUUUCACAAAGGGAUAGCCCGAAGAAAUUUGGAAUAAUAACUAAUGGGAUAUAGAGGUGGCAUCAACUUUUUUUUAAAGCUGGGGGGGGGAAAGGUGGGUAUGCGUUCUAUUAGCUAGUUGGAGAGGUAACGGCUCCCCAAGGCGACGAUAGAUAGGGGUUCUGAGAGGGAUAUCCCCCACACUGGUACUGAGAUACGGACCAGACUCCUACGGGAGGCAGCAGUGAGGAAUAUUGGACAAUGGUCGGAAGACUGAUCCAGCCAUGCCGCGUGCAGGAAGACGGCCUUAUGGGUUGUAAACUGCUUUUGCAGGGGAAGAAUAAGGACUACGCGUAGUUUGAUGACGGUACUCUGCGAAUAAGCAUCGGCUAACUCCGUG